rnacentral:rRNA from 1 species
AGCAGCCGCGGUAAUUCCAGCUCCAAUAGCGUAUAUUAAAGUUGUUGCAGUUAAAAGCUCGUAGUUGAAUUUUGGAUUCUUCCAAUUGGUCCAUCUUUUAGAUGAGUACUGGUUGUGUGGGGUCUAUCCGCCUGGUGAUACGUAAUGUCCUUUAUUGGAUGUUGCGGGUAGUCAGGACCUUUACCUUGAAAAAUUAGAGUGUUUAAAGCAGGCUUAUGCCGGAAUACAUUAGCAUGGAAUAAUAGAAUAGGACGAAGUUGUUUUAUUUGUUGGUUUCUAGGACAACCGUAAUGAUUAAUAGGGAUAGUUGGGGGCAUUAGUAUUCAAUUGUCAGAGGUGAAAUUCUUGGAUUUAUUGAAGACUAACUACUGCGAAAGCAUUUGCCAAGGAUGUUUUCAUUAAUCAAGAACGAAAGUUAGGGGAUCGAAGACGAUCAGAUACCGUCGUAGUCUUAACCAUAAACUAUGCCGACUAGGGAUCGGGCGAUGUUGUUUCCAUGACUCG